CCAAUAGCGUAUAUUAAAGUUGUUGCAGUUAAAAAGCUCGUAGUUGAAUUUCAGGCCUGGCUGGACGGUCCGCCCUUCGGGUGAGUACUGUCUGUGGUCGGGUCCUACCUUCUGGCGAAGCGUCAUGGCCUUAACCGGCCGUGGCGGGGAACCCGGACUUUUACUGUGAAAAAUUUAGUGUGUUCAAAGCAGGCAAUCUCUGUGAUACAUUAGCAUGGAAUAAUGGAAUAGGACAAUGGUUCUAUUUGUUGGUUUCUAGGACCGUUGUAAUGAUUAAUAGGGAUAGUUGGGGGCAUUAGUAUUCAAUUGUCAGAGGUGAAAUUCUUGGAUUUAUUGAAGACUAACUACUGCGAAAGCAUUUGCCAAGGAUGUUUUCAUUAAUCAAGAACGAAAGUUAGGGGAUCGAAGACGAUCAGAUACCGUCGUAGUCUUAACCAUAAACUAUGCCGACUAGGAAUCGGGCGAUGUUGAAAAAAUGACGCGCUCGGCACCUCAUG
rnacentral:rRNA from 1 species